rnacentral:rRNA from 1 species
UGGGGAAUUUUGGACAAUUGGGCGAAAGCCUGAUCCAGCAAUGCCGCGUGUGUGAAGAAGGCCUUCGGGUUGUAAGCACUUUUGUCCGGAAAGAAAUCCUUGCUCUAGUUAACGCUCGGGGGAUGACGGUACCGGAAGAAUAAGCACCGGCUAACUACGUGCCAGCAGCCGCGGUAAUACGUAGGGUGCAAGCGUUAAUCGGAAUUACUGGGCGUAAAGCGUGCGCAGGCGGUUUUGCUAAGACCGAUGUGAAAUCCCCGGGCUAACCUGGGAACUGCAUUGCGACUGGCAAGGCUAGAGUAUGGCAGAGGGGGGUAGAAUUCCACGUGUAGCAGUGAAAUGCGUAGAGAUGUGGAGGAAUACCGAUGGCGAAGGCAGCCCCCUGGGCCAAUACUGACGCUCAUGCACGAAAAGCGUGGGGAGCAAAACAGGAUUAGAUACCCUGGUAGUCCACGCCCUAAACGAUGUCAACUAGUUGUUGGGGAUUCAUUUCCUUAGUAACGUAGCUAACGCGUGAAGUUGACCGCCUGGGGAGUACGGUCGCAAGAUUAAAACUUCAAAUGAAUUGACGGGGUCAUAGCUGUUUCCU